ACAGUACAAACUGAGCAGGCCGUGGCAUAUGCCAAGGGAGCCGGGUCACAUAAGUGGCAGUGGAUAACGCAUCCGCGGGACAGU
rnacentral:ncRNA from 1 species